AGAACGAACGCUGGCGGCAGGCUUAACACAUGCAAGUCGAACGCAUCGCAAGAUGAGUGGCAGACGGGUGAGUAACGCGUGGGAAUCUACCCAAUUCUUCGGAACAACUGAGGGAAACUUCAGCUAAUACCGGAUGUGCCCUUCGGGGGAAAGAUUUAUCGGAAUUGGAUGAGCCCGCGUUGGAUUAGCUAGUUGGUGGGGUAAAGGCCUACCAAGGCGACGAUCCAUAGCUGGUCUGAGAGGAUGAUCAGCCACACUGGGACUGAGACACGGCCCAGACUCCUACGGGAGGCAGCAGUGGGGAAUAUUGGACAAUGGGCGCAAGCCUGAUCCAGCCAUGCCGCAUGUGUGAUGAAGGUCUUAGGAUUGUAAAGCACUUUCACCGGAGAAGAUAAUGACGGUAUCCGGAGAAGAAGCCCGGCUAACUUCGUGCCAGCAGCCGC
rnacentral:rRNA from 1 species